GUAGUUCUGUACGUACACUCGCUCAGCGCUAACGUUUCCAUCGCACGCUGCUGUGAAUUUUACACUUCAGCAACAUUGAAGAUAUCUUUCGUCGAAGUAUUUCAAUGGGGUGACUUGUGGAACAGUACUCUCCUGAACCCGGGACCAAAAGGGACUUAAUUGACCAAACACUCAACUAACUUCGGCCUAUUUAAUAAAAGCAAUAAAAAAA